AUGUUUUCCCCAUCGAGGGGAAGGAAUAUCUUAAAGAACCUGCAGAAGAUUCCACAAAAUAUUAAACUACUUCACCAGUGACGACUAUAGCACACAAUGGGUAUUCAUGCCGUGUGCCUUGCUGUGGUAUCUGAGCACCCUUCAUACUUGCAGGGAAAAAGGUCAGUGAGGUAAUCUUGUUUUAUUGGACCAACCUCUGUUGGUGGAAGAUACAAGCUUUGAAGCUUCGCAGAGUACACAAACCCCAAAUCUGCAUGUGAAAGUGGCACCUGUGCAGCACUUUCAGUUGAAUCAGAAGCCUAACGAUCUGACCAGGACAAAUGCCAUGUGCAUGUUCAAAUAAUGAUGUGUGCAAAAUCAUAAGCACAGAUUUAGAGUGUUCAGAAAUAUGCCACUUAAACUGUGUAACCCACUCAGAGCAGUACUCUCUCUCUGUGUAAUGGUGGUUGGGCCACAGCUACAGGUUGAUGAGUCUUCUACCUUCUUAGCUAACAGAUCUGGGUCUGCUAGCUCAGAUAGCAGAAGCUCAUUCUUUAGGUGCAGAGAUGCCAAGUUCAGUCCCUGUUGCUGAUCACCCACUCGGGAGUACAGGUUACAAGUGCAAAACAAAAACUGUUAUGGAAAUUACAAUGUGUAUGUGAUUCUAAGAGCUGGUAAAGGGUUAACUAUUCUGUAACAGCAACACACUGCUUUCAUAGGAUUUACCCAAAACAGGUUGUGUCAAGUGUCUAAUAAAAGCUUGUGUCUCACUAAUCCUCAUAAUCAUUGCAAGAAGUAUGUACUGAUAUUUAAGGAGUUGUAUAUAUGCCUUGAAAAUACAUUUUAAAGUCUGUAUCCUACUCGGAAUUGACAAAAAGGUUGUGCCAGACAAAGCAAUGUAUGUUCACUUGGCUGCCUAAGUUCAUAUGUAGAUGAAGCAUUGUAAAUCAGCACAAUGGAAGCCCAUUUUGUAUGCAGUAUCAACAUGAGUAUGUGAAAACAACCUGAAGCCAGCACACCAGGAAAGAAACCACAGGGAUCAUCCUGACUCUGGGACAAACCAAGGAGAAGCAAAAGGACACAUCUUUAUCCUUCACUGAGGAAGCAAAAAGGACAGUGCUUUUUGCAUUCAUGAAAGUUGGAUCCCAGCCAUGUCGGUUGGUGAUGCUGGGAGAUUGCUUUAGGUGAGAAUUACUUUAGACAAGGUUUAUAGCCUUCAUAAGUUGCGUUUAGAGUUUAAGAAGUAUGUUACAUAUUGUGUUUAAUGUAAUAAUUUCUGUUUCCAUCAUUAUCCUUAUUCACUAUUUCUUAAUUCUUAGCCUUUGAUGAUAAACUUAAUUGUUUUCACUAUAAAUGUAUCUCAGUGCUGUGAUGUUAUAAAGGACCUGAUCCUGAGUUGUACCUGUCAUGCUGUGUGUAUAUUGUUCCCUUUGGGACAGCAAACCUGGAAAUUUCUGUGAGUGUCCAGUGACAGGGCUGGAUACUACAAGGGACAAUUUCAGAGGGGUUCGGGGCUGGGUACACCUAUUGUUACCAGCAAGGCCAAGUAAGGGCUGGCAGAACUGUGAGGAAUUAGGUGGCUAACAGACUGAUGUGCUAGGGAGCUGAUAUCCUGCAAAGCACAAACAUGUCUCUUGCUGAGGCAGUGGGAUAACAUUGUAUGUAACAGGGGACACCAUUUUAAAACUUGCUAAGCAGGUCCUGGAGAUAUCACCAGAUGAGUUGAUAUCUGGGUAGUCAGAGAAGCUGUCAGUCUGAUGUGAGAGGGAUUGCUUUCAAGGGAUUAAAGCUAUUGACUUUUCUUUUUAACUCUGUAAUGUGGCUGAGAAUGCCCCAUCUAUUUUAGCUUAUGAGAGGUAUCUAGAAGUGUCUAGAAAUGUUAAAUGAACAAAUUCUUUAGUUUAAAUUACAUUCUUUUUUUAAUAAAUCUUGUUUUUGUUAAGA